rnacentral:rRNA from 1 species
CCCUUAGACACUCUAGGCGGCACGCGCGCUACAAUGGGUGGAAGAACGUGUUACUGCCUCCGAAAGGAGGGGUGAAUCACGAAUUCUUGCCCGUGAAUGGGAUAGUUUGUUGCAAUUUUCGGACUUGAACUAGGAAUCCCUUGUAAACAUGCUCAAGAAUAGCGUGUUGAAUACGUCCCUGCCGUUUGUACACACCGCCCGUCGUUUCUUCCGACUGAUACUCAUUGUGAGUUGCAAGGACCCUUUAUUGGGAAAUUACUGCAAAUGCUUUGUAUUGGAGGAAGAAAAAGUCGUAACA